CCCGUGCGGGCGCCUCGCGGAGGGCGCGCGGGACCCCGAGCCGCGGCCGGAGCGGGAAGCAGCGAGGUGCGCGUGCGGUUCGAGGUCAAAAAUUCGCCGGGAGAAGAUGGGGCCCUGUCGCCUCGGUUGGCAGAGCGCGUGCAGUGUGCUGAGCCUUUCCACGUGCAUCAUCGCGUGCGCUGGGCCGGGGUGGCGCUCCCCCGCGAAGAGCGGCAGGCUCCUGUCCAGCGACGCUGGCCUCCGCACCGGAGACUUGGGAACUGAUUUAUGAGCACGUGGUUCAGGGACCCGCUUCUUACCCAUGAAGAAGUGAAGGCUUCUGGGUAAGGCUCCCUUGCUAAGACACAGCCCCUCUUCUGUCUCUGGACCUUGCUGUGUCUGUAUGUGAUGCCUGGAACCGCUACACCCUCCGCAUUACCACACCCAGCAUGAAGCCAGGACACACUAAUCAUGGUAGAGUGGAGAGAUGGAAAGAAGCUGGUUCAUGAUGACAUUGAAGCUGGUCCUCCUGUCUGCAUCCCCGGUACUUCCCUUGGAGACCAAAUGCUACUUUCUACAUCAUCUGAUAAUUUUUUUUCCAACUUUUUAAAAAAUCUCUUAGCUAGACAGUUGCCUCCUUUGAACACAGUCGAAACCCCUGGAGUGGAACGGAUAAUGAAACAGUUCGGGAGUUAAGAUGAGCCACAAGAAGGAAACCAUGAGGAGUUUACUUGCAUUCAGCUGAGGACUGUGGUCCUGACCAAGAGCCCGGUCUGUUCUCUUCCUUUCUUUCUUUGCUGAUCUCCUCAGCCUGCACCCCAUGACCCCUGUAUUAACCCCGUGCUAGGCAUCAUCAUCUUUUAUUAACUUGUCUGUCUUUCUUUCUGGAUCAUUAAGUUGCUUGAGGGGAGGAAUUUUUUGUCUUUUAUCUCGGUAUCACCAAUUCCUAGCAGACUCUUAACUCCCAGAAGGCAGGGAAUCCAUUUUAUUUUCUACACCUCCUGCUCACUCUCCAAUAAAUAUUUGUUGCAUAAAUAAAUAAAUUGCCGGCAAAUUGUAGGCACUUAAUAAGUAUUUGCUCAAUUAAUGAAUUGUAUGUUGAAAUUAAAUCACAUAUUUGUGCAAUCAAGGAGUUAACUAUUUUGAGAAAUAUUUAAUAUAUCCUAU
rnacentral:lncRNA from 1 species